rnacentral:ncRNA from 1 species
GGAAUGAUUGGGCGUAAAGCGUCUGUAGGUGGCUUUUCAAGUCCGCCGUCAAAUCCCAGGGCUCAACCCUGGACAGGCGGUGGAAACUACCUAGCUGGAGUACGGUAGGGGCAGAGGGAAUUUCCGGUGGAGCGGUGAAAUGCAUUGAGAUCGGAAAGAACACCAACGGCGAAAGCACUCUGCUGGGCCGACACUGACACUGAGAGACGAAAGCUAGGGGAGCAAAUGGGAUUAGAGACCCCAGUAGUCCUAGCCGUAAAUGAUGGAUACUAGGUGCUGUGCGACUCGACCCGUGCAGUGCUGUAGCUAACGCGUUAAGUAUCCCGCC